rnacentral:tmRNA from 1 species
GGGGGCGACUGGCUUCGACGGGCCUGGUGAAGAUCUCGCAGCGUGUCCAGGGUCCCGGUGUCCUGGCAAAAACCACUGGGAAAACCACAACUGCCAAUACUGAAUUGGCUCUGGCUGCGUAGGCAUUCUGCCUAACGCACCUGCCCGCGAGGCAGCCCUGUCCGAGGCGGUGCGCGGGUAUCGGAAAAUCGGGCUGGCGCGACGGGACGUUCCCACCCGGCGCGUGAGAGGUUGCGGGAACUUGCCCGCCGGCCGGCUGGUUGCGCGCCGCCCGGCGGAGACCUAAAAGCGCGGCCUACGCACGUAGAAGCGAUUUCGGAUCGAGGUUCGGACCGGGGUUCGAUUCCCCGCGCCUCCAUCA